ACGCCGAUGGUGAAACGGUUAUCAUGCUUGCCUUCCAUCUGCAAGAUAUUUUUAGUCAUUUGAGCAAGCGGUAGGGGUUCGACUCCCCUUCGGCGUA